rnacentral:misc_RNA from 1 species
GUGGUGUUUGGUUUGAUACGGGUGGUCGGCUCCCUGCUUGAGCAGGUACGGCCUCGCGUACAUUCCUUUUCAGUUGUGCGACAAGGCUUGUAUCGCCUUGAUCGUAUAUGUGGGUUUACUGUGUUGCAUACCUGAUCAAAGGAAUCGUCUAGAUCAAAAAAGUCCCUUUUCGUCAAGCGUUGCCCUUGUGACGUCGGACGAACCAAGUAGCACCCUCUUUGAUCCAUCCCGUUGAUGAGCAUUUGUCGAUGGUUUGGCCCAUUGAGGGUUGCGUGGUAUCUCGGACAUGGAAGCAAAAGUUGGCGUAGGGUCGUAUGAUCCUUUUUAUUGCCCUCGUUGAGCGUUCUCGCUUCUCUAAAACGAUUGCCUUUCACGUAUGGCACGUCCCAGCGUGUUUGGCUAACGUCGAAGAGGAAU